rnacentral:misc_RNA from 1 species
AUUUAUACAGACAUUUACGUCGGGAAAGGGUGUAUGUACAAACGUCGGUGUCACGAUUAAAGUUUUAAAAUCGUUAUAACUAUGGCUUACGAAAUCAAACAGCUACAGCGUCUGACCAAGGCGCCGGUGGAGAAGAUUCCUGACAGUGACCGGCGGGUCACCAAGUCCAUGUACAACAAUAUGGGUGUGGUCAGCUCCUACGCCUGGAAGGGCUACAACUAGCACCACGUGAUCGGAAGUGUCACAAGCACCACGUGACCGGAAGUGUGUGUAGGGAGGAGACUUGUCAACUCUGCCUUGUAUUUAUUUUUUUAUGUUAUACAGACUGCAUUUAAAGUUGUUUAAUUUUCAAUAAAUUGUUUAUAUUUAUAUAUA